rnacentral:rRNA from 1 species
CUGCUGCCUUCCGUAGGAGUUUGGUCCGUGUCUCAGUACCAAUGUGGGGGGUUGACCUCUCAGUCCCCCUAUGUAUCGUCGCCUUGGUGAGCCGUUACCUCACCAACUAGCUAAUACAACGCAUGUCCAUCUCUGACCACCUGAGUUUUCAACCACCGAAGAUGCCUCCGGUGAUGUUAUGGGGUAUUAGUACCAAUUUCUCGAUGUUAUCCCCCUGUCAAAGGUAGGUUACAUACGCGUUACGCACCCGUCCGCCGGUCGCCGG